UGACGCGUCCGUCAAUUUUUUUUCCGAGCACAGACGCUCCUAGAGAGAUGAAUAAGUAGCCUAGGUUGGAGUGCAACCGACUAGGAAGGAGAUUGGGUAGGAGCGAAGGUGGAAAAUUCCCCGUAUGGAAUGAAGCUAAACCUGCUCUGAGAGCCCUACCUCUGUCGUGCCGUACUCUACUGUACCGUCCCACUGGUGCGACAGUCACGGAGGGGGACUUGCUAAAUUAUCCUGGCUCCGCUGAAGUGGAGAAGAUUACUAAGUAUGUCAUCGUAAGUAAUGCCAAAGACUUCUGAACGUCCAGCUUUCUGUUAGAGAAACACCCCUACAGCCAGCGCAGCACAGCUCAGCCUCUGGCCUGUGUACCUUUUCUUGGGGUCUCCACCCUUGCCGCUCCUGCCCUGCCAGUUCGUCCCUCACCGCCUGGGCACGAACCCGGGUCUCCGGCGUCACGCAAGAGGGAUCUUGCCAGCUGAGCUAAAGGCGAACUCCCUCAGCCCGAGCGGCUGAAAUCCCUGUUAUACGCAGGGGCGUAUUCGUUACACUUGCUCUGGUGAUCUGUAUGUUGCUACUCUUCACAUGCUAACCUUUUCUGAGCCACAUCCAGCAUUCUGAAUCAAUACGCCUCAAUAUAAAAGUAAAGUAUUCAUUUGUGCACACCACAACAGCACUUUCAUUUUGUUAGCAGAUCUAAUUUAUUUCCCAGAAUGCAAUCACAUGCUGCUACAACAACUGGAGUGUGUGUGUGGGUGGUCAGUGCAGCUGCUCUGGAACAAAUGGUGAUGCUGCCUAAUGUGUGAUAUUGCUUAAAUUGUCUUGGUGCAAAUUCAAGGGGCUUACAUAUUCUUUUACGGUGUGUUACACUCUUAAAGAUGCUUCAUUCUUCUAGGGAACCCAUCUCAAUGCUGUGUGCGUUAUUAACCAGUGCUGUUAUGAUUUGAAGGAAUAAAAGCCUCCAUCCCCAACGUCGGCACGGGCCCACUGCAUUGUGCUUGUGUUAUGUGCAGGACAGUGUGUCUCUGGCAAUUCCAGUUCAUCUCUCCAGCCUUGGUCUCACCGCUGGAACACUUCGCCCUGAUCUUCACUAGCAGUAACCAGAGGUGUUUCUUCGAAACAAGUAGAUAACGUGUGUUAUACUAGAUCAGGGUCUCUAGCCUUGGUCUUGGAGAGCCCCAGUCCAAUUAUCCUUAUAGAUCACUCUAAAUCUUCUGUUAUCUUAAAGAUGAAGAAUGCUUGUUGCUUUCCAUUGAUCAAUAAAGCAAGUCAUGUUUGAGUGAA